AUUUUAAAAAAGAACGGAGAUGGUGAUAUUUUACAAAAUAAAAUAGAAGAACAUAAUGUUGUAGACCUUAAUAUGAAACCAUCUGUUAAAAGUCAUUUAACCAAUAGCAACACAAAUUUAAACACUAACACUUUUUCUACUAGUAAUUCAAAAAAUGUGUCCAUUGAAAAUGAUUUCGAUAAUAAUACACAUAAAAACGUAGAAGGCGCAAAUUUUACGCAAACAAAUGAAAAAAAAAGCAUAACAAAUACGAACAAACUCCCUUCAGUAGGCCAAAAUAAAUCAAUAGAAACAAAUGGGAAUGUAGAAAAACUAAUGUUUGAUAGAAGAAUUUCGAGAAAUGAUGAUAUAAUAAACGUUAUAAUAAAAAAUAUACUAGACGACCUAAAGAACAACAAUGUUAAUAUAAAAUCCAAUGUUUUAAAAAAAAAAAAAAUAAAUAAUAAUAAUAAAGUUAAAAAUGACGAGAAUGUAAAAUUAAAACAAAACUUCGACGAUAAUACGCUCAAUGAAAAAAACAUCAAAGGAAGCAAUGCUAGAAAAGUUGAAGAUUCUAUUGAUACUCUUCCGAAUAGUGAUACUACUGAUACACGCCCUGUAACUGAUACAAGCCGUGCAACUGGUAUAAAAAAUGCAACUGAUACACGCCCAGUAACUGAUACAAGCCAUGUAACUGGUAUAAAAAAUGCAACUGAUACACGCCCUGUAACUGAUACAAGCCAUGCAACUGGUAUAAAAAAUGCAACUGGUACAGAUGAUACGCAUGAUAAGAAACCAACUCGUGUUAUUAAUAAUCGUAUUAAGAACAGAUAUGGUGAUAAUAGUUUGACAGACAGGUAUAAGCUCGUAAGUAAACCGGGAAAAUCAAUCAAACACAAUAUUAUAGACACAACUGAGCAACCAGAAAAAAAAAAUAAAUAUAAAAUAGAAACCCGUGUUUUCGAAUCUUAUUCUAUGGUUACAAACUCGCCAGAAUUAUUUAAAGAUAUUUUGGUAGACGCAACAGAUUUAGCUUAUAAAAGUAUAGGUAAUUUAUAUAUACCAUAUAAUAGUAGUUCUAAGGAUGUGUUUACCCAUCAAAGACAUAUAGUUGUAACUAAUGUCGGAAAAAGAAAAUACAAAUUAGUUAUUAUGACGAAGUAUUCGAAGUUUUCGAAUUACAAUCCAGCUGUAAAAAAUAGCUUUAUCGAAAGUGAAGCAGAACCAGAAUCGUAUAAGGAAAAACCAGAAUCGGAUGAAACAGAACAAGAAUCGGAUGAAACAGAAUCAGAAUCGGAUGAAACAGAAUCAGGAUUGGAUGAAACAGAAUCAGGAUUGGAUGAAACACAACCAAAAUUCGAUGAAGAUUUUGAUUGUAGUAAAGAUUAUAAUGAAAUCGAUGUUGAUGAAUUAUAUGAUGGUGUUGGAAAUCUCAAUUAUAGCAAUGUUUAUAAUAAUGAAAAUACAAAAAAGACAGUCGAUGGACUUGACAAAAGUAGCGAUAGCAGUAACGGUAGAAACAGUGAUGGGUAUAAUGAUCAGAAAGAUCUAAGCAUAUUUGAAAAACUGAAACGAAUAUUUAGUUUUAUUUCUAUCAGGGGCAACACAGACGCAGGAGUAACAAAUGUAACUAACACUAACAACAAAGAAGAUAGUUCUAGUAAUAAUAGUAAUGAUAGUAGUAGUGACGACAAUGAUAGUAACAAAAAAAAAGACAUAAUGAAUAUAGACAAACUGAUAGAUCAAUAUCUGUUAAAUCUAAAAAACGAUAUUGAAACACAAGAACUUAUGUUGGUAUUCCGUGGAGAUUUAGAUUUAACUUUAUCAGAGAUGAAUGAAAAAAUAAAAAAUACAAGCAUCAAAUUUACAGAUUAUAUAAAAAAAAAUUAUAAAAAAAUUGAUGUAGUGGAAUAUGAUAUUUUAUCACCUAUAAAUUUUGUAUGUUUUUUUAUUCCUACCGUUUUUAAUAUAAAUAAUAUUAAUAUAUUAAAGGGUGGGUUAUUAAUAAUAUACGAAGAAUUAGAAAAUUAUAUUGAAAGCUGGGAUUUCUCGAAUACAUAUUUUGAUAUGGGUUAUGAUACAUAUAAAGAAAAAUAUAGUUAUGAAGACAUGAGUAAAAAUGACCAUGGCAUUGAUACAAAUUUACCUAAUGACCAUGAAGCUAAAUAUACCAAAAAAGGCAAAACUCUUUAUACUGUUAAAUAUAAAUCUGUAUUUUUUGAAAAUUUAUUCAAAGUGAAAAACAUAUUUGCAUUUAUUAGUAAUGACGUUGUAAAAAGUGCUGAAAUAUUAAAAAAAAUAAUGGAUAAGUUACCAGCAGAGGUAACAAACCAACACAAAUGGAACUUAUCGUUUAUUAAAUUAUUUGGUGCAUGGUAUUUGGCAGGAUAUGGAAAUAAAAAUAUAAAAGUAUGUGUUAUCGACUCUGGUAUAGAUAAAACACAUGAAGAUUUGAAAGGUGCUAUAUUUAUACCUGAAUAUUCUAAAACUUAUAGUAUGAAUGAUACUGAAUUUGACUUUAUAGUUAAAAACCCAGUUGAUGAAACAGGACAUGGUACACAUGUUGCUGGUAUUAUAGGUGGUAGGUUAAAUAGUUUAGGUAUUGUUGGUGUUGCACCAAAUAUAACUAUACUGCCAUUGAAAUUUAUGCAUAAAAAAAAAGGUGGGAGUACUCAUUAUGCUAUUAAAGCUAUAAAUGUGUGUUUAACUAAUAAAGCUCCUAUUAUUAACACUAGUUGGGGAUCUCCUCACUAUGAUUCAUCAUUAUACAAUGCAGUUAAGAGACUUCGAUAUUCGUUCAAUGGAAAGGGGUCUAUUAUAGUUGCAGCUGCAGGAAACUCUGAUAGAAACAAUGACGAACAUUUCGUAUACCCUGCAAAUUAUAAGCUGUCGAAUGUAUACAGCGUUGCAUCUAUCAGUGAUGAUUAUGAGGUUUCCCAUUUCUCGAACUACGGAGCUAAUAGUGUGCACAUACUUGCACCAGGUAAUCAUAUAUUUUCUACUUCACCGAAUAAUACAUACAAAAUUAGUGCUGGUACUUCGAUGGCAGCUCCACAUGUCAGUGGUGUUAUUGCCUUAAUAUAUUCAGUUUGCUGCAAGCAAGGAUAUAUACCUGAGGCAGAUGAUGUGCUCGACAUUGUUUCAAGAACAUCAAUAAAAGUAACAACUGCAAAGAAAACAAUUCAUAGCGCUUAUAUAAAUGCAGAAGCAGCAGUACUAACUACCUUAAUGGGAGGACUAUGGAUGCAAAUUAAUUGUGGUCAUGCCAUGGUUACGCUUGAUACCAAUCAGAAAAAACACAUACCUAUAGUUUUUGCAGGAUAUAAAAAUGGAAUGUAUGUAACAAAAAUAAUUAUAGGGAUAACGCCAGUAGAUAAAAGUUUAGACAUAUAUGGAGAAAUUAUAAUACCAAUAAGAAUAGUUACAGAUAUUAAAUAUCCCAAGUUUGUUGCUUCUCCCCCACUUGGAAAAGCUAUGUCGAUAGGUAAAGAUGAAGCACCGAAUGAUGAAAUAUUAGAUUAUAUGUGUAGUAAUUCAUUAUAUGACAUGUACAAGGUAAAUGGACAAAAUAUGCUGAUACUAUCAAUAGUGUUUUUAAUAGUAGUAGCACUUUUUAUUUUCUUAAUGUGCUAUUGUUUUGUAAAAGUAGUACAAAAAAUGUGUUUAAGAAAAAAACAUAAUCAGAAUAAUAAUCAAAAUAAUAAUGAACAAACGAACACACUUACAAUUAAUUUAGACAAAAUGCAUUCCUUGUUUUUUCAAACACAGGAGGAUUAUAUUAAAAAGAAUAAUGUAAAUGCACCAAUUUAUAAAUAAAGGUAGGCAGCUAAUAAAAACAUCAGGAUUGGCUAAGCUGUUCA
ensembl:lncRNA